rnacentral:rRNA from 1 species
CGGUGAUAAUAGCAUGGAGGAUCCACCUGUACCCAUCUCGAACACAGAAGUUAAGCUCCAUAGCGCCUAUGAUACUUGGCGGGCAGCCGCUUGGGAAAGCAGGUCAUUGCCG